rnacentral:pre_miRNA from 1 species
AGGAGGAACAGCCCCAGGGGCGGGGCCAGCUCUGCAGCCCUGGAUCAGCUCCCGCCGUAACUCCGGAGCUCUCUGUCUGCAGGGCCUGGAGGCUCCGGGGCGGG